CCAAGGCUACGAUGGGUAGCUGGUCUGAGAGGAUGAUCAGCCACACUGGAACUGAAACACGGUCCAGACUCCUACGGGAGGCAGCAGUGGGGAAUAUUGCGCAAUGGGGGAAACCCUGACGCAGCGACGUCGUGUGAGGGAAGAAGGCCUUCGGGUCGUAAACCUCUGUCAGAAGGGAAGAACAUCCGGGAGUCGAACAGCCUCCCGGCCUGACGGUACCUUCAAAGGAAGCGCCGGCUAACUCCGUGCCAGCAGCCGCGGUAAUACGGAGGGCGCAAGCGUUAAUCGGAAUCACUGGGCGUAAAGCGUGCGUAGGCUGUUUGAUAAGUCAGACGUGAAAUCCCUCGGCUCAACCGGGGAACUGCGUUUGAUACUGUUGAACUAGAGUCCUGGAGAGGGUGGCGGAAUUCCUGGUGUAGGAGUGAAAUCCGUAGAUAUCAGGAGGAACACCGGUGGCGAAGGCGGCCACCUGGACAGGUACUGACGCUGAGGUACGAAAGCGUGGGGAGCAAACAGGAUUAGAUACCCUGGUAGUCCACGCGGUAAACGAUGGAUGCUAGGUGUCGGGGAGCGAUCUUCGGCGCCGCAGCUAACGCAUUAAGCAUCCCGC
rnacentral:rRNA from 1 species